GACGAACGCUGGCGGCGCGCUUAACACAUGCAAGUCGAACGGAAAGGCCUGCUUUCCCUUGUGGAUUGCGGGUACUCGAGUGGCGAACGGGAGAGUAACACGUGAGUGAUCUGCCCCCAACUUGGGUAUAAGCCUGGGAAACUGGGUCUAAUUCCCGAUAGGACUGCAGGGUGGUGCCUGUGGUGGAACACGAUUUUCUAGUGGUUGGGGAUGAGCUCGCGGCCUAUCAGAUUGUUGGUGGGGUAAUGGCUUACCAAGGCGGCGACGGGUAGCCGGCCUGAGAGGGAGGACGGCCGCGGUGGGACUGGGAUACGGCGCAGACGCGAACGGGAGGCAGCAGUGGGGGGUGGCAGCAGAGGUGCGUAAUCCUGAUGCGGCGACGCCGCGUGGGAGAAGUCGUGCUUCGAGGAGUAAGCUCCUUGCGACCGAGAGGAAGCCACCUAGUUGAAAGGGUGGUGACGGUAGUGGUAGAAGAAGCACCGGCUAACUACGUG
rnacentral:rRNA from 1 species